rnacentral:rRNA from 1 species
AUUGAACGCUGGCGGCAUGCCUUACACAUGCAAGUCGAACGGUAACGCGGGGCAGCCUGGCGACGAGUGGCGAACGGGUGAGUAAUAUAUCGGAACGUGCCCAGUCGUGGGGGAUAACUGCUCGAAAGAGCAGCUAAUACCGCAUACGACCUGAGGGUGAAAGCGGGGGAUCUUCGGACCUCGCGCGAUUGGAGCGGCCGAUAUCAGAUUAGGUAGUUGGUGGGGUAAAGGCCUACCAAGCCGACGAUCUGUAGCUGGUCUGAGAGGACGACCAGCCACACUGGGACUGAGACACGGCCCAGACUCCUACGGGAGGCAGCAGUGGGGAAUUUUGGACAAUGGGGGCAACCCUGAUCCAGCCAUGCCGCGUGCGGGAAGAAGGCCUUCGGGUUGUAAACCGCUUUUGUCAGGGAAGAAAUCCUUUGGGCUAAUAACUCGGAGGGAUGACGGUACCUGAAGAAUAAGCACCGGCUAACUACGUGCCAGCCGCCGCGGUAAU